rnacentral:rRNA from 1 species
UACAGAGGUGGCAAGCGUUGUUCGGAAUUACUGGGCGUAAAGGGCGCGUAGGCGGCCCACUAAGUCAGACGUGAAAUCCCCCGGCUUAACCUGGGAACUGCGUCUGAUGCUGGAGGGCUUGAGUAUGGGAGAGGGAUGUAGAAUUCCAGGUGUAGCGGUGAAAUGCGUAGAUAUCUGGAGGAAUACCGGUGGCGAAGGCGGCAUCCUGGACCAUUACUGACGCUGAGGCGCGAAAGCUAGGGGAGCAAACGGG